AUUUCUCCUUUUUCAGUAACAGAGACCAAUGCUAAACACCCAUUAUGGCACUAUUCCUCAAGGAGAUUGACUGCCUGGUGAGAAAUUAAUUACACUGGGUACCUUCUAUCCUGAAAACAGUGCUACUCAUGCUCACAGACAGAAGUGAGUAUACAACUUUCCAGGUAUUGUGAGAUGGUCAAGUAAAUAAGAGAAGUUUAAAUUGGAAGUAACUUGGGUGAGUCACAUAUGACUGCCAUGACCGUUUCCAUCUGUGAGCCUAACUAUGAAUAUCCCUAACUGUGGCAUAAACAAAGAAAUUCUACAAGUACUUUAAAUGGAGCUGUCACUGUGUAUCCAAGCAAUGAAGCAAUGAUUGAUUUCUGAUUCACCUCUGAUAAGGCUCCUUUUGAUCAAUUAUUGAACAUCCCAGGAGUGCACAGGACUCUUGUAUU